rnacentral:rRNA from 1 species
UACGUAGGGUGCAAGCGUUAAUCGGAAUUACUGGGCGUAAAGCGUGCGCAGGCGGUUAUGUAAGACAGUUGUGAAAUCCCCGGGCUCAACCUGGGAAUUGCAUCUGUGACUGCAUAGCUAGAGUACGGGAGAGGGGGAUGGAAUUCCGCGUGUAGCAGUGAAAUGCGUAGAUAUGCGGAGGAACACCGAUGGCGAAGGCAAUCCCCUGGACCUGUACUGACGCUCAUGCACGAAAGCGUGGGGAGCAAACAGG